CAGAGGCGGCGGGGCGGGGCAGGGCAGGGCAGGGCAGGGCAGGGCGCGCUCUCCGCAGCCCGUACCAGCUCUGCCCCGGGCGCUCCUCCGCCGCCGCUCCCGGUUGGGAUGUCGCAGGGCUCGGCGGGGACAUGACACCCUGCGGGGCUGAGACGCGACCCUGUGGAAGCCUCGGGAAAGCGGGAGGUACCGCGAGUGCCGCUGCAGUGCCUCCUACCAAGUUAAAAACUCUCGGAGCACAGCAGCCUGUCUCCCAUCCCUCGCUGCCCCGAGCCGUGGCCGGACGCGCUCUGCGUCUCCCGCCCCUGCCCGGGCCGCCCCCGGCCCCGCUCCGCUGCGGCAGCCCCGGCCCCGCGCCCCUUCCCACGGGAGGCGGCAGAGGCACGGAACAAAGGAAGCCGCUGGCCGGCUACUGUUUAUCUGGUGUCGCUGGCUGCCUGAGGCAGAUACGGGACACCCCCAUAAAGCAGUGUUUACAUUUCUCCGGCCACUUUGACCCUUUGCUGCAAUCCCGUGUCCUUUGUGUUAUACAAGGAGGUGAGUGACCAGCUUUCAUCAUACUGAUAGAGCGUUUAAGUCGUUCAUGAGGAUUUUAGCGAUACUGCCUUGGCCGGGGCAGGGAGGCACCUUCAAAACCGGCGGCGGCCUUCUGACAGAAGUUGAGGUGCCUGAGGACAAGCCUUCAGAGCACAAACGCUCAGUAACGCUGCCCAAAGUUGUAGGUGGUUGGUACUCUUUGGAGGAUCAGAUAAUAAAGCAGAUCCUAAGAGUCUGGGCCAAUAUGUGCUAAAUAAAGCAUCCAAAUCAGUCAUCGCUUACAUUUUGUUCUUCAAAUUUCUUUCUUAUUCCUUGAGUAUUGAAAAAAAGAUUAAAAAGAGAAAUCCUCAGCAAUACAGACAUGUCUUUUUGCUUCUACUGUUCAAACCACAGCUUCCCCUCUCAUCACAAGGACUUGCUUAUUUUUGUUUUGAAUAAAGCAUCUGGCAGAGUAGUUUUUCUGUAAUUUCAGCUAUUAUUCACUGCCUUUGCUGCUUUAGAGAGUCUUUCUAAUAUCUUAUUACAGGUACUGCAAGACCAUUUUCAUUAGUUAAUGAAAAGUGCUUUGAACAAAAAAGUGCUACAGCAGUUCUAACCAUAACAGAUUAAUUCUCUGGUCUUCGUGUUACUUGGUUCCCCUUGUUUUAGAAGGUGAAACGUUUUCAGCUCACUAUAGUAUAUACAUCAACUAUUUGUCUCAUUCAAUAAUUAUUAAAAACAGCAUCUUUUUUUAGAAUUUCGCUUAAAAACUUCAGAGUGGUGAUGGGGAAUUAAUUUCAGAACAUCUGUUUUGAUUUUUGCCUUAAAACUUGUUUAUAAAGGUGUCAUUGUGUUUACGCAACUAGGUUCCCUAGUGGGUGCAUUUUCCAGAGUAUAAAAUCUUCCAGUGUUCUCACUGAGUAUGUUUCUUUUCAAGUUAACAUCGCAGAGCAGGAGAUAUUACUUGACAAAACAAAUAUAAAAGGCCCUUCACUAACUCCUCCCAGCUCCCCUGCUUACUCCAGUUACCAGCUGAGUCACUGGCAGAGAGAAUAAUCUGCUGUGCACUUAUGAAAAAAUCUAAGAGCAAGUCACUGCCAAUUACUAUAUUAAAAGAUUUUUAUGUCAGUUUUGCGUUGUGCCUACUUAUGUGGCAUUUUCCAUUAAAUUUUUUUUUUCCAGGAACCACACUCAUGAAAUAAUGUUUGCCAUUGAUAAUGGCUACCAGCAUUCCUAGAGGUGACUAUGCUUUAACACGAGUAACGCAAACAAACCUCCCAGCUGGCAGGGAAAGAG